GCGGGAUUAGCUUAAAGGUAAAGUGCUGCCUUGCCAAGGCAUUGAUUGUCGGUUCGAGCCCGACAUUCCGCU
rnacentral:tRNA from 1 species